rnacentral:lncRNA from 1 species
GGGAUUUAAUCAGUUUACGAUUUGAGUGUAAAUUAAGAUAAAGCAUAGAUCAACAAAAGGAAUAAGCUCAAAGCGGAAAGUUCACGACAAAUUUAAGAAGCCAAUUCAGAUUCACACAUAGCGAAUCAAAACGAGAAACAAGAUUUAUUCUUAACUUAACACGUGGAAUUAAAAUGGGGAAAGGAGACUUCUGUUGUAAACAAGCAAAUAAGGAUCCAUCAUCGCUCUGAACAAGAACCGGUUACUUACCAUUCAAGCAAACCAGAACCCUUCAAUUUCUCUACCACCAAUCCAUCUAUUCGAGCUGCCAUCUCCAGAGUCGGGUAGUUCUGCCAAUCUCCGACCUCACCCUUCCUGAAAUACGCACUAUUAGCAUAGCUACAAGGACGGUCCUCCAUAUCUUUCUCCAUAUAUUGUAUUAAUAAUUUUUUUUAAAUUUAUAAUUUUUAGUUGUUGUUUAGUAUGUAUAAUAAAAUUAUUCAAUAAUUUAUUUAUAGAUAUUGAUAAGUAAUUGGUUACAACUAAUACUGAAAUUAUCUAUAUUUAUUUACAUAUAUGAAACACAUAAAUAUUUUACAUUAAUAUUAAAUGAUAAAAAAAUUGUAUGGAAAUUUUAUCUUUAUGAAAACAUUAUUUACUUAAUUAUUAAUUAAUUAAAAUAUAGUAUUUUAUAUAAAAUAAAAAAAAUUUGUUUUUGUAUUGAAAACCACAAAAGUUGGUUUUUGCUUUUCUUCACAAACUGGUUGAAAUUUUGAAAAAAAUAGUUUUCCUGAAUUUUAGGGAAUCUAUUUGUUUAAAAACUUGAUUGGCAAGUGAAAUGGUUUUUACAAAAAUAAAAAAUAAUAGUUAAAAACUUGAUUGGAUAAAAAAUGGUUUUUACAAAAGCAAAAACCAAAAACUAAAACAAAACCUACAAACACGUGAAAUUAAAAUGAGAAAAGGAGUCAACUUCUGUUGUAUAAGAAACAAUAUAAUGGAUCCAUCAUCACCACUCGGAACAAGAACCGGUUACAUACCAUUCAAGCAAACCGGAACCCUUCAAUUUCUCUACCAUCAAUCCAUCGAUUCGAGCUGCCAUCUCCGGAGUCAGGUAGUUCUGCCAAUCUCCGAUCUCACCCUUCCUGAAAAACGCACUAUUCGCAAAACUAGAAGGACGGAUCUCCAUAUUCUUCUCCCCUUGGUUGGAUUCAAGAUUCUUCAACGUAUCGAAACUACAAAGAUUCACAACUUUAUCAACAAUCCCUUCCUUGUCUUCCUCAGCUGUGAAUCCAUAACCCAUAAAUCCUUUUUUUAAAAAGAAAAAUGGAAAACCCCUGGUUGACUGUAGCGCUUGCUCCCCCUCUGAAACCUCCGACUCCGGCUGGCAAUCUCAGCCAUUCGCCGCCCCAGCCCGAUCCCCCUGACCCUCCCGACCCUCUCCAAUUUCCCCCUCUCCCUUCUCCUCUCUCUGGUGGCCAAAAACCCCCAAAACGUCGCACUUUCUCUCCACUCCCCCUCAUUUCCACUGUUCCCC